rnacentral:tRNA from 2 species
CGCGGGGUGGAGCAAUUGGUAGCUCGUCGGGCUCAUAACCCGAAGGUUCAAGGUUCAAGUCCUUGCCCCGCAA